ensembl:lncRNA
GUUUGAACUUUUCUGGAAAUGGGGUUGUAAUGUAAUGUCAGAUAAUGUAAGAUAACGUGGGAUAAUGUAAGGUGUAAUGAAAAUGUGUUUUUGAUAGUAAAUAAGAAAACCAUUGCUGUUGAGUUGCUGCAUGGAAAUACUGAGUUGUCCCUGUUUGGUUCUAUAUGUUGGUCUCCGGUUCCUGCAGGAACCGAUCUAGUUGUAAUCUAACAGGUCAUUAAACGCUGUCUCCUUUUCUCUGUAUUGAUCAGGCCUAGUUUUCACAAAGGCAGAGUGGGGGUGGGGGGAGGGAGAGGCUCUUUGAGAUUUUUAUCAGUCUCACAAGGACAUCUCAGUAUCCAUGCUAACAGAACAGUCCUGCUGACCUUGGGUUCUUGAGAAAGUCUAGAUGAAAUUAUGUCAUGGCAUCCAGUUUUAAAGUGAUUCUAAUGUAUUUUGCAAACUGAUAAAGCCCACUGAGAACAUCUGCUGGUAACUAAUUUGCUGGGAAAUACAGUAAAUCAUUUUAAUCUGUGAAUAUGUGGACUAGUCAUGUGGAAUUGUGCAGACACCUUUCAGUCAGAAUCCCAUCUAUGACCUGUCAGAGAAUGGAUGAAUGCCAUCUGAAAACAGCUCAUUCCAUUAUUUAAUGACAUGUGUACCCUGAGCAACAUCCCAUAAUCAAUGUACUUCCAAGUAACUAGACAGAAGCUUGUUAUAAAUCAAUGAAAUAUUAGUUCAGAUAACUAAGUAGCUUGUAGUAAAUUAAUCUGGUAUCAGGUCACGUUAGUUUGUAGUUUCAGGUUAGUUUAGCUACGUAGCUUGUAGUAUAUUAAUCUAGGAUCAAGUCAGUUCAGCUAGCUACCAAAGAGACCAGGAAGAAUGUAAAGUCUCCUGGUAGAAUUAACGGAUAUCUGCAUCCCAAAUGGUGCUCUGUAGCCAAUAAAGGGUUUUUGGCUGAAAGCAGUGUACCAUGUUGGAAAUAGGGUGCCAUUUGGGAUGUCACCUAUAUCUCCCACCCCGCAGCGCCCCUGGCGACCCUGAGCGACAUCUCAUCACAGGCAGUAAUCAGAUUUAGGAAGCCAACAAGGUGGAACGGAUGGAUGUCCUCUCAUGGCCCGUGGGACUAAAUACAUCUCUUUUAAUAUGAGAGAUGAAUAGAGCGGUUUCUGAUCUGAUCAUGCUGGGGGGGGUAUAGGCUAAAUUCUGUAAAUGGAUAAAGACGAUAUGUUUGAACAGGAACCAGUUGAGGGCAUGUCAGUGGGUUGGAGGUCCGUGCUGACUGCUGUAUCUCCA